UACGUAGGGUGCGAGCGUUAAUCGGAAUUACUGGGCGUAAAGGGUGCGCAGGCGGAUAAUUAAGUUAGAAGUGAAAUCCCCGGGCUUAACCUGGGAACUGCUUUUAAGACUGGUUAUCUAGAGUUUGUCAGAGGGGGGUGGAAUUCCAAGUGUAGCAGUGAAAUGCGUAGAGAUUUGGAGGAACACCAAUGGCGAAGGCAACCCCCUGGGAUAGAACUGACGCUCAUGCACGAAAGCGUGGGUAGCAAACAGG
rnacentral:rRNA from 1 species